rnacentral:rRNA from 1 species
CGACGUUAGCGGCGGACGGGUGAGUAACACGUGGGUAACCUACCUAUAAGACUGGAAUAACUCCGGGAAACCGGGGCUAAUGCCGGAUAACAUGUUGGACCGCAUGGUCCUACAGUGAAAGACGGUCUUGCUGUCACUUAUAGAUGGACCCGCGCCGUAUUAGCUAGUUGGUAAGGUAACGGCUUACCAAGGCAACGAUACGUAGCCGACCUGAGAGGGUGAUCGGCCACACUGGAACUGAGACACGGUCCAGACUCCUACGGGAGGCAGCAGUAGGGAAUCUUCCGCAAUGGGCGAAAGCCUGACGGAGCAACGCCGCGUGAGUGAUGAAGGCCUUCGGGUCGUAAAACUCUGUUAUUAGGGAAGAACAAAUGUGUAANUAACUAUGCACGUCUUGACGGUACCUAAUCAGAAAGCCACGGCUAACUACGUGCCAGCAGCCGCGGUAAUACGUAGGUGGCAAGCGUUAUCCGGAAUUAUUGGGCGUAAAGCGCGCGUAGGCGGUUUCUUAAGUCUGAUGUGAAAGCCCACGGCUCAACCGUGGAGGGUCAUUGGAAACUGGGAAACUUGAGUGCAGGAGAGGAAAGUGGAAUUCCAUGUGUAGCGGUGAAAUGCGCAGAGAUAUGGAGGAACACCAGUGGCGAAGGCGACUUUCUGGUCUGCAACUGACGCUGAUGUGCGAAAGCGUGGGGAUCAAACAGGAUUAGAUACCCUGGUAGUCCACGCCGUAAACGAUGAGUGCUAAGUGUUAGGGGGUUUCCGCCCCUUAGUGCUGCAGCUAACGCAUUAAGCACUCCGCCUGGG